rnacentral:lncRNA from 1 species
UGCCAAGUUUGUGGCAUCUGUCAGCUCACUGAGAAUGAGGCUCUCUGCUUUCAUCUCUGUCCUAGCUCUCUCUCUUCCAGUCCUGAGAGCUAUUAGCAUAAUCAUCUGGAACGGCUGAAGACACUCAAACUACUGGGAGAGUCACACUCACUUUUAAGUUCCCCAAAAUGGUGUUGUCAGUUAGCAAAAUAUUAUUGAGAGCCAAACCAGAGUUUUAUGAGUGGGGAAAGAAACAUUUAAAAGAAUACUGUAUUAGCAUAUAUGGCAAAAUGUUGACUUUUUUUUUUUUUUUUUAGACAGGGUCUCACUAUGUAGUUAAGACUGACCUGGAACUCACUACGUAGCCCAGGCUGGUCUCCAACUCACAGCAGUCCUCCUGCCUCAGCCUCCCUAGUGCUGAGAUUACAGGAAUGCGCCACCACGCCCGGCUUGUUGACUUUUAAAUUACUACAAAUAAGGAAAGCAGCAGCACCACAUGAUCCAGGUCAAGCAUUGUGGACUCAGCCUUGAAUAUUGAUCCUAUUUUACAUCUGCCUCAUCAUUGUGAGGACAUUUCACCCCCACCCUCUGGAGAGUGAUGCUGGUGGAGUAUAACUAGCAGGAAAACUAGGGUGGUAAAAUGGCCACGCCAUCUGCGAUGGAGGGAAAUCACAAUGAAACUGAACACUCAAGUAGAAAACGGUGUCCGCCCACAGGAACUGCUGCCACCAACUGCUGCAAUAAAUAAUUCAGUAUUCAAUAUACUAGUCAAUGGAGCAACGCAAGACUGGAAAGAGAAACAGAAGAAAGAAAAUUUCCUAUACCUAAUACAAGUUGAAACAAGUUUCACUCCUCUGCAAUUUCCAGUACCCUCAAUGCCACCAGAACUGCUGCUCUGAAUUAGUCUCCCACCUUACCUCCCUUCCUCCAAAC